AUUGAACGCUGGCGGAAUGCUUUACACAUGCAAGUCGAACGGUAGAGGGGGCAACCCCUUGAGAGUGGCGAACGGGUGAGUAAUAUAUCGGAACGUGCCCAGUCGUGGGGAUAACGUAGCGAAAGUUACGCUAAUACCGCAUACGAUCUAAGGAUGAAAGCGGGGGAUCGCAAGACCUCGCGCGAUUGGAGCGGCCGAUAUCAGAUUAGGUAGUUGGUGAGGUAAAGGCUCACCAAGCCAACGAUCUGUAGCUGGUCUGAGAGGACGACCAGCACACUGGAACUGAGACACGGUCCAGACUCCUACGGGAGGCAGCAGUGGGGAAUUUUGGACAAUGGGACGCAAGUCUGAUCCAGCCAUUCCGCGUGCAGGAUGAAGGCCCUCGGGUU
rnacentral:rRNA from 1 species